rnacentral:sRNA from 1 species
UGAUAGCCCCGAUGGGAGGGAAUAUCCUUUUUUCACAUCUGUCAGGUUUUAAAACCUGACAGAUGUGAAAAAAGAUAGGAAGGACAGCGGGACGAUGU